CUGCGGACAUACCGCGUGAGGGAGGAAGGUCCUUGGAUUGUAAACCUCUUUUAUCAGGGAAGAAGUUCUGACGGUACCUGAUGAAUAAGCAUCGGCUAACUCCGUGCCAGCAGCCGCGGUAAUACGGAGGAUGCAAGCGUUAUCCGGAAUUAUUGGGCGUAAAGCGUCCGUAGGUGGUUAUGCAAGUCUGCCGUUAAAGAAUGGAGCUUAACUCCAUAGGAGCGGUGGAAACUGCAAGACUAGAGUACAGUAGGGGUAGCAGGAAUUCCCAGUGUAGCGGUGAAAUGCGUAGAUAUUGGGAAGAACAUCGGUGGCGAAAGCGUGCUACUGGGCUGAAACUGACACUGAGGGACGAAAGCUAGGGUAGCGAAAGGGAUUAGA
rnacentral:rRNA from 1 species